rnacentral:rRNA from 1 species
AUGUCCCUACCAGAUUGCUACAACAUUCAUGCAGAUUCUGAUAUGCUGAAAAGUUUGCCAAAGUUGAGUCGCCGGGAACUUAAAGUAGCGCGUGAGGAUUUUAGCACCAUAAUUGGCUCAACUCCGGAGAUUGUAGUCUACAAAGGAACAAUGAAGGAUGGACCUGAGGUUUUUGUCAUAUCAUUAUGUGCCUUUGAAGGUUAUGAUCUGGCAAGGUUGAGUCAUGAGAACAUAGCAAAGUUUCUGGGCUAUUGCAGAGAGAGUGACCCAUUCUCGAGGAUGUUACUCUUUGAGUACGCAUCAAAUGGGACCCUGUACGAGCACCUACACCAUGGAGAAGAGGCCCAAUUCUCUUUGCUCAAACCAAUGAAAAUAGCCAUCAGCAUCGCCCAAGGUUUAAGGUAUCUGCACACCGAGUCGCAGCCGCCUUUCGCUAUAUCAGAGCUGAACUCCAAUUCAGUAUACGUUAUAGAAGAUUCUACCCCCAAG